AUGCGCCGCAGCUUCGCGUACAUGGUGAUGAGGCUGUUGGACGCGGCGGCCUUGUCGGAGAGGCCGGUCUUGAGGCACACCGCGUGGACCAUCUGCCCGUCCCUCGCCGGGCACCCUGCCGGCAGCGCCGAUAUGAGCGCCACGAAGGUGACCUCAUUCGGCGACACGCCGUCUCGCCGCAUGCCAUUGUACAGAGCGAUGAACUCCUCGUCCUCGUCCAUUGAAAUGAUUGUGGUCCAAGAGAUGACGUCUCGCUCGCCCAUGGACUGCAAGAGCUUCCGGCCGCAGGCUGGAGCGCCGCACUUGUAG
rnacentral:rRNA from 1 species